UGAGUAACACGUAUCCAACCUGCCGUCUACUCUUGGACAGCCUUCUGAAAGGAAGAUUAAUACAAGAUGGCAUCAUGAGUUCACAUGUUCACAUGAUUAAAGGUAUUCCGGUAGACGAUGGGGAUGCGUUCCAUUAGAUAGUAGGCGGGGUAACGGCCCACCUAGCUUCGAUGGAUAGGGGUUCUGAGAGGAAGGUCCCCCACAUUGGAACUGAGACACGGUCCAA
rnacentral:rRNA from 1 species